UACGUAGGGGGCAAGCGUUAUCCGGAUUUACUGGGUGUAAAGGGAGCGUAGACGGCCAUUCAAGCCAGAUGUGAAAGCCCGGGGCUCAACCCCGGGACUGCAUUUGGAACUGUAUGGCUGGAGUGUCGGAGAGGCAGGCGGAAUUCCUGGUGUAGCGGUGAAAUGCGUAGAUAUUAGGAGGAACACCAGUGGCGAAGGCGGCCUGCUGGACGAUGACUGACGUUGAGGCUCGAAAGCGUGGGGAGCAAACAGG
rnacentral:rRNA from 1 species